rnacentral:rRNA from 1 species
CCUACGGGAGGCAGCAGUAGGGAAUCUUCCGCAAUGGACGAAAGUCUGACGGAGCAACGCCGCGUGAACGAUGAAGGCCUUCGGGUCGUAAAGUUCUGUUGUUAGGGAAGAACAAGUGCUAGUUGAAUAAGCUGGCACCUUGACGGUACCUAACCAGAAAGCCACGGCUAACUACGUGCCAGCAGCCGCGGUAAUACGUAGGUGGCAAGCGUUGUCCGGAAUUAUUGGGCGUAAAGCGCGCGCAGGCGGUUUCUUAAGUCUGAUGUGAAAGCCCCCGGCUCAACCGGGGAGGGUCAUUGGAAACUGGGAAACUUGAGUGCAGAAGAGGAAAGUGGAAUUCCAAGUGUAGCGGUGAAAUGCGUAGAGAUUUGGAGGAACACCAGUGGCGAAGGCGACUUUCUGGUCUGUAACUGACGCUGAGGCGCGAAAGCGUGGGGAGCAAACAGGAUUAGAUACCCUGGUAGUCCACGCUGUAAACGAUGAGUGCUAAGUGUUAGAGGGUUUCCGCCCUUUAGUGCUGAAGUUAACGCAUUAAGCACUCCGCCUGGGGAGUACGGUCGCAAGACUGAAACUCAAAUGAAUUGACG